AUUAUACGGUGUGGCUCGUCCACCUAAUCUUUAUAAGCUCGGUUUGUCGAUUCGAUUCCGAUUUCGGUUCGGUUCGGUUCUGGUUCAGAAAACAGUUAAUUCGAGAACCGAACCGAUAUGGUCAGUUCUAUAAUUUUCAGGAUCAAGACCGAACUAAAAGACUAUCAGAACCAAACCAACCCAAUCGAACGAAACCGAAAUAGCUCGAUUCUCAAAUUUUUCGGUUCAUUUAUGCACCCUAGCAGAGCUUCUGGAGCCAUUUAAAACGUAGGUCCCUCAAAUACUCUCACAUAAAAGGGAUUGGAGCGAAAACUCUUCUCAUUAAUGUUCCCAACUCCCAAGUACUUCAUAAAACUCAAUAAUAGCACGUGACCAGUGACCAGUGACCACUGACCGGUUACUAGUGAUUGGCUAGCCACAUGUAGCUCACUGACUGACAUAAAUAUUUAUGAAUUUUUUAAAUUAUCUGUCAUUCUUUAUGAUUAAUAUUUUAACUGAAAUUAUUUUUUUUUUAUAAAUAUUCACUUUCUUCUUUUUAGAAGUGUAAGUCCACAUAGAUUGUGAUUUAAUGAAUAAAAAUUUUUUAAAGUUGAGUAAUUUUUUUACCAAUUAAAUUAUUUUUUAGUGGGAUUCAUACCAAAAAAAACUAAAAUACUAUUUUUUCGUUUUUUUCUAAAACAUCAUUUUUCUCAACUAGAUUCCAUAUUUACAAAAGAAAAAAUAUUAGUUAAUUGAUUAGUUAAUGACCCUAUUUUUGGCUCUGCCACGUACUUGGAGUUGGAGAAACAUUAAUGCAAUAUGUGUGUGUAUAUGUGGGUGCGUGGGUUAGUAAUUUUAUACUAUUCAUGACUAUAUUAGAUUGAUUAGAUUGAGAAAUUCUGUGUCUUAGAAUUUGAGAAAAAAAUUAAAAAUUAAAAUUUAUGAUUCAGAAUCAUUUAAGUAUACGAACCCUACAUAACUAGGUAAAUCUAAACUAUUUAUUUUGAAUUCUAAAAUUUUUCUUGAUUCAAAUUUUGAGACAAUAAUGCUGAGAUAACAUGGGCUUAGCAAAAUGGACACUUCAUUAACAACAUAUCAUGGCUGGUGUCACAUGGUCAAUUCUACACUCUUAAAACUCGCCUAUGAUGGCACUAAGUCUCAGCACUUAGUCUCAGUUAAACAACCACAAACACACAAAUUUGAGAUUUAAUAAAAUUGAAGCAACACACAAUAUUUAUGGGUCAAAACUCAAUAUUUUGAUUGCAUCAACAAUACAAGAAAUAUGUCAAGAUUUUCUCUACACCAGAAUAAUUUUCUGCCUUAGAAAUUUGCCUUUUUUGCCAAGAGUCUUGUCUAAUUUAUAGACAACAAGAGACUACAAAAAAUCAUACAAACGUGACAAAUGCCACAAAUUCAAUUAACAUCCCUAACUGCUAGGUUACAUGGCAUUAUAGAAUUAUGCUAGCACUUAAACACAUAAACUGCCUUCACACAAUUUUUCCACAUUCUGAAACUGCCUCCAAACAAGCAUAACUGCUUGUAAUUGCAAUGUUCAGCAUGCAAUCUGCCCCCAGUAUUUAUUAUAUUUUGGUUAGUCUUGUCCACGACUUAGUACCAAAAUAAAGUUGUAUAACAGCCAACCCAAGAUCUGUUGCUCUUUGCAGAAUUAAACUGUUGACAACUGCCCUGGUCGUUGUCUGCAUAUCCGUUGUCUAUCCAUUGCCAAUGCCAGACUUGAGUUCACACCAAACCACCCACAAACUGAUUGAUUCCCAUGAACAUUUUUAUUCCCGUAAUACUGGCAAGCAACGUUGCUGAUGUUAGUCCAUGUUCAUUGUUCACAACCCAUACUGUCACACAUUCGGGUACAACUACACUUGCGCCUUGCAUCUGUUCCGCAGUAUCACUGUCUUCAACAUUCGCCAUUUUGUCAAGGCAUGAAUUUUUCAUGCCUAUUCCAUCAGGGUUAGUGUGGGUGUCAUCACACAUCUAUGUCGAGAGACUAGGGUUCUAUCAGCCGACCAAUUGUAUCGAAAAAAAUAAUGAAAGAAAAUAUUUCUAUUUGCCUUGUGGAAAGAUAUAUAAUACACACCGUCUAUAAAAAUGUUACAAUCAAUUGUGCGAGUGUUACAAUCAGCUGUGGAAUAUUUUUUAUGGUAGCUUUGAGAAGUUAAUACAUAUAAAGUUGAAUAUUUAAGACUCCCCACAUAGUCAAAUUUUUCAGAGGGAGAUUGAUUUGUUAUAUUUGCAAUCUGUGCACUUAAUUAAUACGCAUCAAACUCGAUCACCUUAUUUCCAUAUGACAGUAUAAUAUCGUGAUGUCUAACUAAGUGAUCUUAGUACAUGACAGCAUUACCAUAACCGGAAAAAAAAUACGGACAAAACCUGCAAGUCUAACAGACCAUUUUCUUUGCAUCAUGACAGCUGCAUUGUUCAGUCCAAGAUAGCCAUAUAGGUGGGAUUGAAUAAAUAUAACAUGAACUAAAUGCAAAAAAUGAGAAGGGGCUAGACUUUGUUUGUG
rnacentral:lncRNA from 1 species